rnacentral:lncRNA from 1 species
GCCUUUCUGAGCAUAAUACGAUCCUCUCUCUUGCAUCAGCCAACCCAGGAGCUGCUGAUAAACCAUGGCACAAGCUUGAGCUAGAGCUGACCUUAACCAUUGACAGCCCACUGAGCACUCGUCAUGUGCUAAGCAUUAUCUCAUUAAACCCUCACCACAAUCCUGCAAGGUAGGUGCUGUGUUACCCCAUUUUACAGAUGAGGGGAACCAAGGCCUACAGUUCCACAGCAGAUAAUCUGCAGCAGAAAAAUUCAACCUCCAGGCAAUUCUGAAUGUAGUCAUUGGUGACAGAAGAAAAUAUUUGUCUCUGAAAGCCAUCCGUGGAGAUCAUAAAACCAUUCCUACAUCUUGCCUUGAGCUAGCAGAAUGAAAUUGCCCAGAGUGGAAAAAGUCAAAAUGUUCUUUUUGAGAGCUUGGCUUUCCUGUGGGUGACUUUCCAAGGUGGGUACUUCAUUGACCAACAUUUGAGUGUGACAACAGCAUCCAGCACGGACGAUACCUGGGCAGCUCCAACAGGCGCUGUGAAGCACAGUCAUGGUGAAUGGAUGAAGCCCAGAUUUUGAUGUCUGAGAGCCACACCGGGGCUGCCCCAAUGACUUCUAUCCAAAACUGAUGACCACAGACUCUCUUGGUGGUGCCAGAGGAGAGGUAUUUUCUUUCCUGCUCUUUGUGAGUGUGACAGAUUUUAAAUAACAUACAUGUCUAGUAGCUUGGACGUGGUUAAAUGUGUUCCGUUUCGGCUCAUGAUGGAGUAAUGUGCAUUAAGAACAAACCGUAAAUCUCACCUUUCCACAACCAACACUAUGGUAAAACAGCCAAGCAGAUCCUGCAGUCAGGGUUCCUCAGGGCUGAGUGUGGAGAAAUCAGGCCAGCACAUGACAAAAUGUUAACACUCACGGCUACAAAGCUUGCAUCAUUUUUCAACAUUUUUUUUUCCAUUUCCAAAAUGCCAUUUUCAUUGUAAACAUUUUAUAAAUAAUGAUCUCAAUUUUUGUAGGGGAAUAAAAGCAAAG